AGGGUUUCGGAUUAUUGGGGCGUAAGCGAGCGCAGGCGGUUUUUUAAGUCUGAUGUGAAAGCCCUCGGCUUAACCGAGGAAGCGCAUCGGAAACUGGGAAACUUGAGUGCAGAAGAGGACAGUGGAACUCCAUGUGUAGCGGUGAAAUGCGUAGAUAUAUGGAAGAACACCAGUGGCGAAGGCGGCUGUCUGGUCUGUAACUGACGCUGAGGCUCGAAAGCAUGGGUAGCGAACAGGAUUAGAUACCCUGGUAGUCCAUGCCGUAAACGAUGAAUGCUAGGUGUUGGAGGGUUUCCGCCCUUCAGUGCCGCAGCUAACGCAUUAAGCAUUCCGCCUGGGGAGUACGACCGCAAGGUUGAAACUCAAAGGAAUUGACGGGGGCCCGCACAAGCGGUGGAGCAUGUGGUUUAAUUCGAAGCAACGCGAAGAACCUUACCAGGUCUUGACAUCUUUUGAUCACCUGAGAGAUCAGGUUUCCCCUUCGGGGGCAAAAUGACAGGUGGUGCAUGGUUGUCGUCAGCUCGUGUCGUGAGAUGUUGGGUUAAGUCCCGCAACGAGCGCAACCCUUAUGACUAGUUGCCAGCAUUUAGUUGGGCACUCUAGUAAGACUGCCGGUGACAAACCGGAGGAAGGUGGGGAUGACGUCAAAUCAUCAUGCCCCUUAUGACCUGGGCUACACACGUGCUACAAUGGAUGGUACAACGAGUUGCGAGACCGCGAGGUCAAGCUAAUCUCUUAAAGCCAUUCUCAGUUCGGACUGUAGGCUGCAACUCGCCUACACGAAGUCGGAAUCGCUAGUAAUCGCGGAUCAGCACGCCGCGGUGAAUACGUUCCCGGGCCUUGUACACACCGCCCCGUCACACCAUGAGAGUUGUACACCCGAAGCCGGUGGCGUACCCUUUUAGGGAGCGAGCCGUCUAAGUGGACAAUGAUUAGGUGAUCUACACAGGGGGUACCGUAAUUUUGGUGGACUUUAUUGGGGUUGUUUUAUGGAAAA
rnacentral:rRNA from 1 species